AACCGUUAAACUUUGUCAGAGCAUAACACUCGUUGUGUGCCUUUGGUGUCAGCUUGCAUCUACAGGCAGGAGAGAAGAGAGAGCCUGAGAAGAAAACCUGAAAAAGCACUCUAAGAUGUGUGACAGUGAAAAUCUCCAGUCAAAUGAAGUUAUGGACCCUGAAAUGGAGCAGGGGUCUGACAGCCCCAUAGAGAAGAAGGUGGAACCAGGGGAGGAAGUUUCCAACUCUCCCCCAGAGGAAAGCCUCAUUGCUGGGGAGAUGAUCCCUGAAGAAGCAGUGAGGGAACCAGAGAACAGGAAUGAGGGAGAGCUAAGCCAACAAACUGCACGCAACCAUUCAAAUGAUCUUAAACCUCCCCUUGUUAGUUUACAAAAAGAUGUGGGUAUGAGUGGACACAGGCGAAUAGGAGGUCAUAAUCCAGUAAGCAGCAUUCACACGGCUUCAGCGGUUUUUCCAUCCUCAACCGCAAGUACAUCUUCUGGAUUUGUUCAGGUUUCUGGAAAACGAACAACGGUCCUCUCCAACGAGGCCAGGAAAGAGAUGCUAAAGCAGGCCAGAGCUGCGAAGGAUGAGCGCCGUGCCAUGCUAGAUGCCCGCCACAGAUACCUAAUUGUCAAGCUUGUGGACAGCGUGAGCCUGGGGGAGUCUGAUGUGGAGGAGGCCUUUAUAUCAGAUGACAAGGUAAACAGUUUAUGUCAGGCAUUCACAAAAGGUAUUCUGUGCUUUUGA
rnacentral:lncRNA from 1 species